UAUUAAUUAUUAAAUAUUGGCUAAAUUACAGAAAACCUCCUUGUAAUAACCCGCUUUUUCACUUUCCCUCCCUGACAUUUAAAAACCUACACUUUGCCCCCCUGUAAAAUAAAAAAUGUGCACUUCACCCCCUACCGUUAGGGUUCCGUCAGGGUUCCGUUAAAAAAUAUAUUUUUAUGCCGAAAAUACUCCUCUGCCAUCUUCUUGUUGCUUCGACUCCCUCCGUCUCGCCGCCUCGCUGCCUAGCCGCCUCGCUGCCUCGCCGCCUCGCCGUCCUCCACUGCCUCGCCCUCACCCACAUUCCCUUCGCCGUCCUCCGCCGCCUCGCCUUCGCCUUCUUUGCCCUUCUCCUACUGUCGCCCACCUCGGUUUUCUCCUACUGUCGCUGAAAUCGAGGGCGGCGAGGGUGCAGGAGGAGAAGGGGAGCAGGUGGAGAAGAAAAUGGAGAGAAAUCGCGGCCAAUUGAGGUGGGAAUCGCGGCCGAACGAAGGGGCGGCUGAGGAAGAUGGGGAAGAAGACGACAAUGGCGAGGGGCAAAAUAGUCAUUUUACACACCGUAACCCCCCUGUGAACAUUUUUCAUUUUACAGGGGGGCAAAGUGUAUGUUUUUAAAUGUCAGGGGGGGAGUGAAAAAGCGGAUUAUUACAGGAGGGUUUUAUAUAAUUUAGCCUUAAAUAUUUCAUCAAUCAUCUAAUAUUAUAAACGGUGUAUGGAGCAUUGGUAUCCUAAUUUUUAAUGAUUAAUUAAUAUAGAAAAAUCUAAUUCUAAGCUCAUAAAUACAAUCUGUAUAUAAAAAACUUAGAUAUAAAAAGUUACCAUAAAUUAACUUUAAGAUUACCAUCAAAGAUAAAUUUUUUUAGCACAAUAAAUUAUACAUAUAUUAUAUUAUAUUAUAUUGUAUAAAUUAUUAAAUAUUCCAUCCAUCAUAUUAUGAAUGGUGUAUGGAGCAUUGGUAUGCACCAGGUGCAACCAAAGAUUUCCUAUCUCUCUUGAAAUUCUCUGUACGAAGUUGAUAUGUGUACGUACACCGCAUGCUUUAAACCCUUUAAUAGAGGUUUUAAAAUUAAUUCAUCAAAUAUUAAACUUUAUAGAUCAGAUAUAUUUAAUUAAAUUUUUAUAUUAGAAUAUUAGUUAUCUAAUAUAAAUUAUGGAAUAUGGAGUAUUAAUAUACACUAAGGUGCAUUUAACUGUUUAUUUUUUCUCCAUUCAAUUUAAAGACUACCCCAUAUAUUCUUCAAUUUAAAAUAUAUAUAUAUAGUUCCUCCAACUUUAACUUUUUAGUUAAAAAGAUUAUUUAUAGAAUAACUAUCAAAAUUAUUAAGUUUGAUUAAAUUUUAAAUAAAAUUAUUGUAAUAAUUUAACUAUAUAAAAACUGAAAGAUAAGAAAAUAUUAAUUAUAUAUAUAAAAGGUUAUUCUUAUAAUUAAUGUAUAUAUAUAAGACUACAUAAUAUAUAUUUUUCAAAUUUCUUAGGUUAUAAAAUUUUGUAAAUUUUAAAUUUAAAUAAAUAUAUUUUUAAUUGACUAAAAUAAUAUCAACCCGCCGUAAGCCCUACACAUAGGUAAUAAUAUAAUAUAACUUCUGGGUCCAUGCAAAAGGUUUCUGCGUGCCGAAGGUCUCUUGGACUGUGUCCCGGUCGCCGAAGAAGCCCCGGUCGCCGAAACUCUUCUUUUUUUUUUCUUUUUUUCUUUUUUUUUUUUUUUUUNCAUAUUUUUCACUUUAGUUCCCAAAAAUAAAAAUUUAAAAUUUUGAAUUUAAAUUCAAAAUUAAUAUUAGAAUUAAAAUUUUUAACUAGAAAUUAGAAAUUAGAAUUUGAAUUUAAAAUUUAAAUUAAAAUUAAAAUUAAAAUCCAAAAUUUAAAAUUUAAAUUAGAUUUAAAUUUUAAUUUCAAACUUAAAUUUUUAAUGAUAGUAGAACUUCGGUAUAUUACAUCACCCUUCCUCUCUGUCUCUCAAUACUACUAUUACAAAAAAUAUUGUCUGUACGUACUAGCUCUACCACUUCAUUUCAUGAACCAAUCCUAAUUUUUAAUGAUUAAUAUAGCAAAAUCUAAUUCUAAGCUCAUAAAUACAAUCAGCAUAUAGAAAGUUUAGAUAUAAAAUGUUACCAUAAACUAACUUUGAGAUGAUCAUCAAAGAUAAAUUUUUUUAGCAUAAUGAAUUAUACAUAUAUUAUAUAAUAUUAUAUUAUAUUAUAUUAGUAUUAAUUAUUAAAUAUUGGCUAAAUUACAGAAAACUCCCUUGUAAUAACCCGCUUUUUCACUUUCCCUCCUUGACAUUUAAAAACCUACACUUUGCCCCCCUGUAAAAUAAAAAAUGUGCACUUCACUCCCUACCGUUAGGGUUCCGUCAGGGUUCCGUUAAAAAAUAUAUUUUUAUGCCGAAAAUACCCUUCUGCCAUCUCCUUGUUGCUUCGACUCCCUCCGCCUCGCCGCCUCGCUGCCUCGCCGCCUCGCCGCCUCGCCGUCCUCCACUGCCUCGCCCUCACCCACAUCCCCUUCGCCGUCCUCCGCCGCCUCGCCUUCACCUUCUUUGCCCUUCUCCUACUGUCGCCCACCUCGGUUUUCUCCUACUGUCGCCGAAAUCGAGGGCGGCGAGGGUGCAGGAGGAGAAGGGGAGCAGGUGGAGAAGAAAAUGGAGAGAAAUCGCGGCCGAUUGAGGUGGGAAUCACGGCCGAACGAAGGGGCGGCUGAGGAAGAUGGGGAAGAAGACGACAAUGGCGAGGGGCAAAAUGGUCAUUUUACACACCGUAACCCCUGUGAACAUUUUUCAUUUUUACAGGGGGCAAAGUGUAGGUUUUAAAUGUCAGCGGGGAGGAGUGAAAAAGCGGAUUAUUACAGAAAGGUUUUCUGUAAUUUAGCCUUAAAUAUUUCACCAAUCAUCUAAUAUUAUAAACGGUGUAUGGAGCAUUGCUAUCCUAAUUUU
rnacentral:lncRNA from 1 species